GGCGGGGACUAUUUGAUAUAUUUUUUAUAACUUAAGGACCAAAGGUUGACAUUUUUAAAAACGGGGACUAAAUUGAACAUCAGCUUAUAACUUAGGGACCAAAAAAAAUGAUUUAAACCAACAAAAUAAAUUCUGUUUUCGAUAAUUAUAUCCUUUUAUUCAAACACAAGUUUAAAUCCCAUAUUGAAUAAAAAUAAAAAAGAAAAAUAGACGGUGAAAUUUAUGCUAAGUCUCACUCAUCUUUAUUCUAUAUUUUCGGCUAUUGACAUAGAAGGAGUGAUACCUCCGAAGACUGAUUGUGAGACGGGUUGUUGUCAUAUAAGUCUUUAAUGUUCCAUGCACGUGAAUCAAACCUUAACUACUCUUUCACACAUCAUUCUUUCAUCAAAUUCUAUUUAUGUUUAUGGAAGUCUUACAUAUAAGUAAGAAAACACAUACCGACU
rnacentral:lncRNA from 1 species